rnacentral:rRNA from 1 species
UGAGUCCGAGGAACUAAGGUUCCAAAGUGAUGCGAGUCAUACUUCCCAGAAAAGCCCGAACCACGUUAAUUUCUAAUUACCUGUACCCGAAACCGACACAGGUAGGAAGGUAGAGAAUACUAAGGGGCGCGAGAUAACUCUCUCUAAGGAACUCGGCAAAAUUACCCCGUAACUUUGGGAGAAGGGGUGCCACCGCAAGGUGGUCGCAGUGAAUAGGCCCAGGCGACUGUUUACCAAAAACACAGGUCUCCGCCAAGUCGCAAGACGCAGUAUGGGGGCUGACGCCUGCCCAGUGCCGGAAGGUUAAGGAAGUUGGUUAGUUUCGACGAAGCUAGCGACCGAAGCCCCGGUGAACGGCGGCCGUAACUAUAACGGUCCUAAGGUAGCGAAAUUCCUUGUCGGGUAAGUUCCGACCCGCACGAAAGGCGUAACGAUCUGGGCACUGUCUCGGAGAGAGGCUCGGCGAAAUAGGAUUGUCUGUGAAGAUACGGACUACCUGCACCUGGACAGAAAGACCCUAUGAAGCUUUACUGUAGCUUGGAAUUGGGUUCGGGCUUCCCUUGCGCAGCAUAGGUGGGAGGCUUUGAAACGGGAGCGCUAGCUCUCGUGGAGCCAUCCUUGAAAUACCACCCUGGUAUGUUUGAGGUUCUAACCCAGGCCCGUUAUCCGGGUCGGGAACAGUGUAUGGUGGGUAGUUUGACUGGGGCGGUCUCCUCCCAAAGAGUAACGGAGGAGCGCGAAGGUACCCUCAGCGCGGUCGGACAUCGCGCAAUGAGUGCAAAAGCAUAAGGGUGCUUGACUGCGAGACAGACACGUCGAGCAGGUGCGAAAGCAGGCUUUAGUGAUCCGGUGGUUCUGCAUGGAAGGGCCAUCGCUCAACGGAUAAAAGGUACGCCGGGGAUAACAGGCUGAUUCCUCCCAAGAGUCCAUAUCGACGGAGGAGUUUGGCACCUCGAUGUCGGCUCAUCACGUCCUGGGGCUGUAGCCGGUCCCAAGGGUAUGGCUGUUCGCCAUUUAAAGUGGUACGCGAGCUGGGUUCAGAACGUCGUGAGACAGUUCGGUCCCUAUCUGUCGUGGGCGCCUGAGAUUUGAGAGGAGCUGCUCCUAGUACGAGAGGACCGGAGUGGACGUUCCUCUGGUGUUCCGGUUGUCACGCCAGUGGCAUUGCCGGGUAGCUAUGAACGGACGGGAUAACCGCUGAAAGCAUCUAAGCGGGAAGCCCCCCUCAAGAUUAGAUCUCACUGGGACCUUGAGUCCCCUGAAGGGCCGUCGAAGACUACGACGUUGAUAGGCUGGGUGUGGAAGCGCAGUAAUGUGUGAAGCUAACCAGUACUAAUUGCCCGUGAGGCUUGAC